rnacentral:rRNA from 1 species
CCAGUGAGAAUGCCCUUAUAAAGCACCAAGGAGCAGGUAUCAGGCACAACCCGUUAGCCCAAAACACCUUGCUACGCCACACCCACACGGGCACCCAGCAGUGAUAAACAUUAAGCUAUGAGUGAAAGCCAACUUAAGCUCGACUUAGUUAUGAUUAUUCGGGUCGGUAAACCUCGUGCCAGCCACCGCGGUUAUACGAGGGACCCAAAACAACGGACACCGGCGUAAAUUGUGACUAGAGCACCUACUUUUGGAAGAUAAAUAAAAACUCAACCGUAAAACCUGAGCCAAAAGAAAUAUAUUCUCCCAACUACAAAGGAACUUGAACCCACGAAGACUAAGAAACAAACUAGGAUUAGAUACCCUACUAUGCUUAGUUGUCAACACGAUACCAAAAAACAUCGGUAUCCGCCAGAAAAUUACACGCGAAAAGCUUAAAACUCAAAGGACUUGGCGGUGCUCCGUACUCGCCUUAGAGGAGCCUGUCCUAUAAUCGAUAACCCACGCUUUACCUUACCAUUUUUUGUAAAACAGCCUAUAUACCGCCGUCGCAAACUUACCCCGUGAGGGCAUAACAGUAAGUAAAAUAGUAACGCACGAAUACGUCAGGUCAAGGUGUAGCUAAUAAGAUGGAAGAGAUGGGCUACAUUUUCUAAAACAGAAUAUACGGCAAAGAACAUUGAAACAUGCUCUAAAAGGUGGAUUUAAUAGUAAGAUA